rnacentral:rRNA from 1 species
UACGGAGAGUGCGAGCGUUGUUCGGAAUCACUGGGCGUAAAGGGCGUCUAGGCGGCUUGCCAAGUCAGAUGUGAAAUCCCUCGGCUCAACCGAGGACGUGCAUCUGAAACUGGUGAGCUUGAGUAUUGGAGGGGGCAGUGGAAUUCCCGGUGUAGAGGUGAAAUUCGUAGAUAUCGGGAGGAACACCAGUGGCGAAGGCGGCUGCCUGGCCAAAUACUGACGCUGAAGCGCGAAAGCGUGGGGAGCAAACAGG